rnacentral:lncRNA from 1 species
UUCCUAGACCAGCUGCCGAAGCUACCUUUCCUGAGAACUAAAAUCCUUCGGGCUAACAACCACACUCAUGAGGUUUCAUGGAGGAGAUCUUGCUUAUGUUGAAUUCAACAGAAGCUGACAGGUAAUACAGUUGAGAAAGGUUGAAACCUCGUGCCAUAAAGACAACAUGGAAGCAGGGAGUCAAGUUCUCAUACCUUUGGGCAUUCAUUCUGAAAUUGCUAAAGAAGCAAAUAAAUGUCUGUCUGGGCUUUCCCGCCAUACAUGACUGAGAAUAUCCAGACAUUUCUCUAUAUUAAAGAAAAAGGAGAGAGCAGUCAUUACUUAGAAUGUCUUUUUGUGCUUGCGCGCACGUGCUCUCUCUCUCUCUCUCCCCCUAGCUAAACCUUGGCUGGGGAGUUUUCUGCAUUUUGCUAAGCUAGAUUGUACUCAAUGGGUUAUAGAGCCCCAGAAGAUUUUUCAGCUACACUUCACCCACUUUCUUUGGAGAAAAGAGGCUGAAUGCUUGCAGUGAAACUAGUCCUGCUACCCUAAUCAUUGUUGAUCAGGCCAAGAAACCAGUACCUGAACCCAAAUUUGUCCCAGUAAGAACUCACCAUAUUGGGUAAAGACAAACCAAUAAAAUUAGAUCUCCUCACCUUGAGAAGGGAAACUGAAUGAGAGAUGUAUGCUAGAAAUGUCAGUAGCAGAAGCAACGUGAACAACAGCUGGGCUCUGGAAAUUAACAUAAUAAGUCUCUGGCUAUUGGAAACUGAGGAGGAAAAAAAGAACACAGAAAGUGUCAAUCAACUCUCAGACAAUUCUUUAGUGACAUGGACCAUAUUAUCAUGAUUAUCUUCAGUUCAUAGGAAUCAUUAAAUCUAUUCCCAAAAUGCAAUCUAA